UUGACCUCGGAUCAGGUAGGGAUACCCGCUGAACUUAAGCAUAUCAAUAAGCGGAGGAAAAGAAACCAACAGGGAUUGCCCUAGUAACGGCGAGUGAAGCGGCAACAGCUCAAAUUUGAAAUCUGGCGCAAGCCCGAAUUGUAAUUUGCAGAGGAUGCUUCUAGGCAGCGGCCGGUCUAAGUUCCUUGGAACAGGACGUCAUAGAGGGUGAGAAUCCCGUAUGUGACCGGUUGGCACCUUCCACGUAGCUCCUUCGACGAGUCGAGUUGUUUGGGAAUGCAGCUCUAAAUGGGAGGUAAAUUUCUUCUAAAGCUAAAUACCGGCCAGAGACCGAUAGCGCACAAGUAGAGUGAUCGAAAGAUGAAAAGCACUUUGGAAAGAGAGUUAAAAAGCACGUGAAAUUGUUGAAAGGGAAGCGCUUGCGACCAGACUUGUCGGCGGUGUUCCGCCGGUCUUCUGACCGGUCUACUCGCCGUCGGCAGGCCAGCAUCAUCUGGAGCCGCCGGAUAAAGGCGGAGGGAAUGUAGCUCCCCUCGGGGAGUGUUAUAGCCUUCCGUACAAUACGGCGCGCUCCGGGUGAGGUCCGCGUCUCGGCAAGGAUGCUGGCGUAAUGGUCGUAAGCGGCCCGUCUUGAAACACGGACCAAGGAGUCGAUUAUCUAUGCGAGUGUUCGGGCAUCAAACCCCUACGCGUAAUGAAAGUGAACGGAGGUGAGAACUACGGUGCAUCAUCGACCGAUCCGGAUGUCUUCGGAUGGAUUUGAGUAAGAGCAUAGCUAAUCGGACCCGAAAGAUGGUGAACUAUGCCUGAAUAGGGUGAAGCCAGAGGAAACUCUGGUGGAGGCUCGCAGCGGUUCUGACGUGCAAAUCGAUCGUCAAAUUUGGGUAUAGGGGCGAAAGACUAAUCG
rnacentral:rRNA from 1 species